GGUUUGAUGUCCGAGUGGCUAAGGAGUUAGCCUUGAAAGCUAAUGGGCUGUGCCUUCGCAGGUUCGAAUCCUGUUCAAACCG
rnacentral:tRNA from 1 species